rnacentral:tRNA from 1 species
GCUUUCGUGGUGUAGUGGUCAGAACGCUCAGCGCGUAUUCGAGAGGUCCGUGGUUCGAGUCCCGGCGAGGGCA